AGAGUUUGAUCCUGGCUCAGGAUAAACGCUGACAGAAUGCUUAACACAUGCAAGUCGAUGACUAAGUAUAGCUUGCUAUACGAGGUCAUGGCGGACGGGUGAGUAACGUGUAAAGAACUUACCUUAUAGACUGGGAUAACAGAUAGAAAUGUCUGAUAAUACUAGAUACUAUUACACUGUGGCAUCACAGAGUAAUGAAAGAAUACGCUAUAAGAGAGCUUUGCAUCCUAUUAGCUAGUUGGUAAGGUAAAGGCUUACCAAGGCGAUGAUAGGUAGCCGGCCUGAGAGGGUGGACGGCCACAAGGGGACUGAGAUACGGCCCUUACUCCUACGGGAGGCAGCAGUGGGGAAUAUUGGACAAUGGGGGCAACCCUGAUCCAGCAAUUCUGUGUGCACGAAGACGGUUUUCGGAUUGUAAAGUGCUUUCAGCAGGGAAGAAGGAAGUGACGGUACCUGCAGAAGAAGCGACGGCUAAAUACGUGCCAGCAGCCGCGGUAAUACGUAUGUCGCGAGCGUUAUCCGGAAUUAUUGGGCAUAAAGGGCAUCUAGGCGGCCUAACAAGUCAGGGGUGAAAACCUGCGGCUCAACCGCAGGCUUGCCUUUGAAACUGUAAGGCUGGAGUAUCGGAGAGGUGGACGGAACUGCACGAGUAGAGGUGAAAUUCGUAGAUAUGUGCAGGAAUGCCGAUGAUGAAGAUAGUUCACUGGACGGUAACUGACGCUGAAGUGCGAAAGCCGGGGGAGCGAACAGGAUUAGAUACCCUGGUAGUCCCGGCCGUAAACGAUGAUUACUGGGUGUGGGCAGGAAGACUGUCUGUGCCGAAGCGAAUGCGAUAAGUAAUCCGCCUGGGGAGUACGGCCGCAAGGCUGAAACUCAAAGGAAUUGACGGGGACCCGCACAAGCGGUGGAGCAUGU
rnacentral:rRNA from 1 species